AUGGCGCUCCGGCUCCACUCUGCCCUCUCCGCCGCCGCCUCCGGACGCCUCUUCUGCCACCGGGCUCUCUCCGCGGAGGCCACCUCGCGCCCUCAGUGGGGUGUGAUCGCCGGCACGCGUCCGGUCAAGUCGCCGGCGCUCGGUGCGACCUUCCACCUCGCCGAGCCCCCGCGCGCCUCCCGCCUCCUCGUCCCCGACCACCUCCUCGGGUCGGGGCCACUCCCGGGCGUCGACAGAGGAAUCAUGGGCGCGCUCUUCUGCGACGUCCGCACCGUGAGCGCCGACGGCUUCCUCCUCCUCAACUUCCUCGACGUCCGCACCACGGGCCCCGUCCUCGAGAGUCAGCGCGCUGACCCAUUUCGGGACGCGACCCUUUCAGCGCUCCCCGAGGCCACGCGGUUCGUCUGCAACCCUCUCAGCGGCGACCUGUUCCGCCUGCCGGACAUCGACGGCACCAAUAAGACCCUGUGCGACAACCGCCUCGGCCUCCUCACCAAGGCCCUGCGCGGUCACGGCCCGCCCGACAGGUACGCCGUCGCCGAGCUCCUACAGGAAAAGGAGCCCUCGAGGCGCUUCUCCAUGAGGCGGUUCCUCUCCGAGACAGGGGAGUGGGAGAAGCUCACGGGCCUGCCGUCCCCGCUCCCACUCCCGCUGGCGCGUCGGAUGGAGGUGGACCACGAGGCCGUGGCCUUCGGCGGCCGGCUCUGGUGGGUCGAUGUGAGCUGUGGUGCCGUCUCCGCGGACCCGUUCAGCGACCGGCCCGAGCUCCGCUUCGUGGAGCUCCCGGAGGGCAAGGAGCGAGUGGCCCCUGAUCCCCGGACCCUGUGCAGAUACCGGCGCGUUGGGGUCAGCGAGGGGAGGCUGCGUUACGCCGUGGUGUCCCAGUGGGAGCCCUUCCUUCUCCGCUCGUUUGCCCUUGAUGGCGACGACGAUUGGACACUGGAGCACGAGGUGGCGCUUAGCCCACUCUGGACGAACGGGGGCUACCCCUGGCUGCCUAUGGAGGAGACACCGCGGAUUGCCGUCAUCGACCCCAUGAACGCGAGCAUCAUGCAUCUCACCAUCGGCAACUAUGUUGUCACCGUGGACAUGGACACGGGGAAGGUGGUUGCUAGUGUAAUUGUCUCGGCGGAGCAUCAGCUUGAUCUAAUCAUGACCGAUGGUUUCUUUCGGGCUUUUGUGCUCUCGCCGUGGCUUGGAUCAAACAGGAUUCCUCGUGCAGGCAAGCUGGGCAAUGCCAGGAACAAGACUCUGGCAGACGUUCUGAUUCGCUCAAACUGA
rnacentral:rRNA from 1 species